GUUUACGGCAAUGUCACGUUGAAAACAUCGGUUCUCGUCCGAUCACUGAAAUUAAGUAACGUCGAGCCUAGUUAGAACUUCGAUGGGUGACCGCUUUGGAAACCUAGUUGCUUAAACG
rnacentral:rRNA from 1 species